rnacentral:sRNA from 1 species
GGCGUUCGAAUUGUAGUC